AUGGGAACGCGAAGAACCUUACCUAGACUUGACAUCUCCUGAAUAGUGUAGAGAUACAUGAAGCCCUUCGGGGCAGGAAGACAGGUGGUGCAUGGUUGCCGUCAGCUCGUGUCGUGAGAUGUUGGGUUAAGUCCCGCAACGAGCGCAACCCUUAUUACUAGUUGCUACCAUUAAGUUGAGCACUCUAGUGAGACUGCCCGGGUUAACCGGGAGGAAGGCGGGGAUGACGUCAAAUCAUCAUGCCCCUUAUGUCUAGGGCAACACACGUGCUACAAUGGUGAGUACAGAUAGAUGCGAUACCGCAAGGUGGAGCCAAACUCUAAAACUCAUCCCAGUUCGGAUUGUAGGCUGCAACUCGCCUACAUGAAGUUUGGAGUUUGCUAGUAAUCGCGAAUCAGAAUGUCGCGGUG
rnacentral:rRNA from 1 species